rnacentral:lncRNA from 1 species
AAACCAAAGCAAGACCACUAAAUAAAUUUUAAAACAUAUAAUGUGAAGGGGGGAAAUGGCAACAUACAAAUCCCAAAUGGCCCAAGCAAAAGCUCCAAGAGGACUUUCAUUCAUGAUUAGAAAAAAUAUAAGAACAUUUUUAACCCAAAAAAAUUUCCAGCUGAUAAAUUUACUUGACACUCUCAUUUUAAACAACCUGUGAGGGAUCUGUACCGCACUAAUGCAUCAUGUGAUUCUAAUAAUCAAUGUGGCAGUUAAUAUUGACAGCAGCAACUUAAAAAGAGAUUGAUGACCAGUGAACUAAAUAGCAAAGAGGGUCAUAACAAAGGGUCUGCUCUGACCAAAAUAGAUAGCACAUUUAGGCAAUCUGUGUUAAUGACAACUCUUUGCAAUCCCGUGGAGGAUCGAAGUUCGUCUUUGAAGAAGCAUCUGGCAAAAGCUAACAUGCUUACUAACAAGACAAACAGGACAACAGUAUGUUGUUAACCACAGGAAUAAAACUGCCAGUAGCUACAGGCAUUGGAGAAAAAUGACAGUCGUGUAAUACAUAUAGUAUAUACAACUAGAAAGGCAAAACAAACCCAACUAUAGAUCAAUCCAUGUAGGCUUAGGGUGGUUGAGUUCAUCACCAAAAGAAGACAUAAAUCCCAAGUUCAGAUAGAUCUUCACUCACAUCAACAGAAUAGAGAAAUAGAACUGAAAGAAGAACACUGUAUAGUAGAUAAGGAAAAUUUGUGUAUUUGUAGCAUAGCAAAAGAGGGCUCAGUUCCGUCUUUGAUCUUCAAGCCCAACACUUAGAUCUCUUGCUGCAUAACAUACCUAUCGCAAUGUAAACGAACUGCCCUGGUUAUCACUCGUCAGAAUGACCAGCCGAGGCGCAGAACAUCCAACAUUUUCGAUGAAUUGAACAGGCUGCAAGAGGUAAAGGUGGGCUCUAAUUUAGUACCCAGGCCACAACAAUCUUGAUUGCUCAAGACAUGCUUAUUUCAGCCAGAGUCGUCAUCAUCGCCCCUCAUUUUUAACUGAAAAGGAGGUUGUACCCCCGUCUUUGCCCACCCAGCAACAUGACCCAGAUAUCCAUACGUACAUACUACAUACUCUCUCCGUUCCUAAAUAUUUGUCUUUCUAGACAUUUCAAAUGACUACCACAUACGGAUGUAUGUAGACAUAUUUUAGAGUGUAGAUUCACUCAUUUUGCUCCGUGUGUAGUCACUUGUUGAAAUGUCUAGAAAGACAAAUAUUCAGGAACGGAGGGAGUACAUACAUACGUGCACACAUCCAUCCAUCAAACAGCCUCAGGAACAUACCUGGCCUCGACCAACCAAACCUGACGGCGCACCAGACAACACCGUAAAUGCAUCUUGGUCCUUGUUGUCGCGGACGAGGGCGGGGAGCCAGGAGAGGUCACGCCCAUCGCGCGUAC